rnacentral:rRNA from 1 species
AUUGAACGCUGGCGGCAGGCCUAACACAUGCAAGUCGAACGAGUGGCGGACGGGUGAGUAAUGUCUGGGAAACUGCCUGGUGGAGGGGGAUAACUACUGGAAACGGUAGCUAAUACCGCAUACCAUCGGAUGUGCCCAGAUGGGAUUAGCUAGUAGGUGGGGGAAAGGCUCACCUAGGCGCCGAUCCCUAGCUGGUCUCAGAGGAUGACCAGCCACACUGGAACUGAGACACGGGCCAGACUCCUACGGGAGGCAGCAGUGGGGAAUAGUGCACAAUGGGCGCAAGCCUGAUGCAGCCAUGCCGCGUGUAUGAAGAAGGCCUUCGGGUUGUAAAGUACUUUCAGCGGGGAGGCGUUACCCGCAGAAGAAGCACCGGCUAACUCCGUGCCAGCAGCCGCGGUAAUAC